UUGACUGGAGAAUAGCCCGAAGAAAUUCGGAUUAAUGCUCCAUGAGACCACAAUACCGCAUGAUAUAGUGGUAAAAGCUCCGGCGGUCAAAGAUGGGCAUGCGUGCCAUUAGUUAGUUGGUGAGGUUACGGCUCACCAAGACAACGAUGGCUAGGGGGUCUGAGAGGAUGAUCCCCCACACUGGUACUGAGACACGGACCAGACUCCUACGGGAGGCAGCAGUGAGGAAUAUUGGUCAAUGGACGCAAGUCUGAACCAGCCAUGCCGCGUGCAGGAUGAAUGCCCUAUGGGUUGUAAACUGCUUUUCUACAAGAAGAAACUUCCUGACGUAUCAGGAACUGACGGUAUUGUAGGAAUAAGCAUCGGCUAACUCCGUGCCAGCAGCCGCGGUAAUACGGAGGAUGCAAGCGUUAUCCGGAUUCAUUGGGUUUAAAGGGUGCGUAGGCGGGGUAGUAAGUCAGUGGUGAAAGCCUGCGGCUUAACCGUAGAAUUGCCAUUGAUACUGCUAUUCUUGAGUGCAGUUGAGGUAGGCGGAAUGUGUAAUGUAGCGGUGAAAUGCUUAGAUAUUACACAGAACACCGAUUGCGUAGGCAGCUUACUAAACUGUAACUGACGCUGAGGCACGAAAGCGUGGGGAGCGAACAGGAUUAGAUACCCUGGUAGUCCACGCUGUAAACUAUGAUCACUCGCUGUUGGCGAUACAUUGUCAGCGGCUGAGCGAAAGCAUUAAGUGAUCCACCUGGGGAGUACGGCCGCAAGGUUGAAACUCAAGGGAAUUGACGGGGGCCCGCACAAGCGGUGGAACAUGUGGUUUAAUUCGAUGAUACGCGAGGAACCUUACCUGGGCUUAAAUGCAGAACGACGUACCGGGAAACUGGUACUCCCUUCGGGGCGGACUGCAAGGUGCUGCAUGGUUGUCGUCAGCUCGUGCCGUGAGGUGUCGGGUUAAGUCCCAUAACGAGCGCAACCCUCAUUGUUAGUUGCCAGCGAGUAAUGUCGGGGACUCUAACAAAACUGCCGGUGUAAACCGUGAGGAAGGUGGGGAUGACGUCAAAUCAGCACGGCCCUUAUGUCCAGGGCUACACACGUGUUACAAUGGCCAGUACAAAGGGCAGCUACCACGCGAGUGGAUGCUAAUCUCUAAAGCUGGUCUCAGUUCGGAUUG
rnacentral:rRNA from 1 species